UAGGAAAUGGUGUAGUGGAAGCACUAGGAGUUUUGAUCUCCUCAGGUUGGGUUCAAAUCCCCUUUUUCUAA
rnacentral:tRNA from 2 species